UGCAAUGAGAGUGUACUAAGGUAGCACAAUAGAUCAUCCUUUAAUUGAGGAAGGGAAUGAAUGGUUUGUCAUGGAUUAGCUGUCUUUAAUUUAUGUAGUGAAUUUUCCUUUUAAGUGAAAAGGCUUAAAUUUUUGUAAAAGAAGAGAAGACCCUAUCGAGCUUAAUUAGAUAUUUAUUGGUUAAUUAAUUUUUGAAAUUUUAUUGGGGCAAUAGGGGGCUAUAAAUAACGCCUUUUUGUUUUAUAAAGAUCCUAUUUGAUAGAUAAAAAGCAAAAGCUACCGUAGGGAUAACAGCGUAAUUUUUUUUUUGAGAUCGUAUUGGAAAAAGAGUUUGCGACCUCGAUGUUGGAUUAUAGC
rnacentral:rRNA from 1 species